UACAGAGGGGGCAAGCGUUGUUCGGAAUUACUGGGCGUAAAGGGCGCGUAGGCGGCCUGUUAAGUCGAACGUGAAAUCCCCGGGCUCAACCCGGGAACUGCGUCCGAUACUGGCAGGCUUGAAUCCGGGAGAGGGAUGCGGAAUUCCAGGUGUAGCGGUGAAAUGCGUAGAUAUCGUAAGGAAGACCAGUGGCGAAGGCGGAUCUCUGGACAGUUACUGACACUGAGGCA
rnacentral:rRNA from 1 species